GGACAGGGAAGGAGGGGGAUGGUGGCUGGGCCAUGCCUGACUGUUUGGGGGAGGCACAGCCUCCCCUAACUGGCUCUCCAUACAAUUUUGGAAACCUGAUGUGGCCCUCAGGCCAAAAAGUUUGCCCACCCCUGCACUAGACAGUC